rnacentral:lncRNA from 1 species
ACAACGCUUUGCAGACGUUUGAUAAAAUGCUAAAUAAAAACAAAUACAAUUGAUUCAAAAGGGACACCUGUUCAGCUUGCUAGUAUGCUGUGCUGUGUUUAAUUCUGCAAUUGAUAGAGUAAGUGAGCACAUCCACUCUUCAGUGGCUACAUCCACCAGCCCAUUUAUUUGGUGCAUUUCAUACACAUUCUGCCCAAAGUCAAACGUACAACUUUAAGUUUCUGAAUAAAUAUCUCAAAUAAAUUACACACACACAUUAUACAUAUAUGUGACCAACACCCCCUUGAAUGGCUUUAGAAGAUAGAAGCCAUUAAAAUGCCUCAAAGUCAAGCAUAGCUUAGAUCAGCAGCCAUCACUCACCUCAUAGCAGUAUCCCACUAAAGAGGAAUCAUUGUAACAAUAUUCAAUGAAGAGGGAGUACAUUAUUUACAUGUACAUUUACGUCAUUUAGCAGACGCUCUUAUCCAGAGCGACUUACAAAUUGGUGCAUUCACCUUAUGAUAUCCGCUAUAUCCGAUAUUAUUUCUAUGUCACACACACACAGACAGAGAGACAGAGAGAGAGAGACAGAGAGACAGACAGAAAGACAGAGAGAGACAGACAGAGAAACAGAGAGACAGAGAGAGAGACAGACAGAGAGAGAGAGAGACAGACAGAGAGACAGCGACAGAGAGACAGACAGAGACAGCGACAGAGAGACAGAGACAGACAGAGAGACAGACAGAGAGACAGCGACAGAGAGACAGCGACAGAGAGACAGCGACAGAGAGACAGCGACAGAGAGACAGACAGAGAGACAGAGAGAUACAGACAGAGAGAUCUAUGGUUACAGCAUUGUCCAUGAACAGAAACAAAUCAUCACAGGAUGCCUGAGUAAUACACAGAAUACAACCCUCAAAAUCAACACAGAGAUGAGUCAUACUACUGACAGUACUAUCAUAUUGCUCCUAGGAAGUGGCAUGAGUUCUUUGUUUAUGACCUACUGUGUUUGUUAUAAAGUUGUAGGCGAGGCUUACUGUCAGCAUGCAAAGUAGGCUGAACCUCGGCAGCAAGAGACAAAGGACACAGAGGCCAAGAUUUUGCCACUGUUAGGUCAUGAGCAGUAUUAUGAACCUUCAAAUUUUGCCGAGCACAUAAUACUAUAACUGCCCUUAUAUUUUUUCAAAAACAAUUACUCUGAGUUUCUACUUUUCACACCUUUUCCUUUGUUGUGCAUUUCACUCUUUCCAGUCCCCUUGGUAAUAUCACUCUCUCCAGUCCCCUUACUCAUACCACUCUCUAUCCAGUCCCUGUAGUCAUAUCACUCUCUCUCCAGUCCCUUUACUCAUACCACUCCCUAUCCAGUCCCUGUAGUCAUACCACUCUCUAUCCAGUCCCUGUAGUCAUAUCACUCUCUCUCCAGUCCCCUUACUCAUACCACUCUCUCUCCCUGUAGUCAUACCACUCUCUCUACAGUCCCUGUAGUCAUACCACUCUCUCUCCCUGUAGUCAUACCACUCUCUAUCCAGUCCCUGUAGUCAUAUCACUCUCUCUCCAGUCCCCUUACUCAUACCACUCUCUCUCCCUGUAGUCAUACCACUCUCUCUACAGUCCCUGUAGUCAUACCACUCUCUCUCCCUUCCCCUUACUCAUACCACUCUUUAUCCAGUCCCUGUAGUCAUAUCACUCUCUCUCCAGUCCCCUUACUCAUACCACUCUCUCUCCCUGUAGUCAUACCACUCUCUAUCCAGUCCCUGUAGUCAUACCACUCUCUCUACAGUCCCUGUAGUCAUACCACUCUCUCUCCAGUCCCCGUAGUCAUACCACUCUCUCUCCCUGUAGUCAUAACACUCUCUCUCCCUGUAGUCAUACCACUCUCUCUCCAGUCCCUGUAGUCAUACCACUCUCUCCAGUCCCUGUAGUCAUACCAAUCUCUCUCCAGUCCCUGUAGUCAUACCACUCUCUCUCCAGUCCCUGUAGUCAUACCACUCUCUCUCCAGUCCCUGUAGUCAUACCACUCUCUCUCCAGUCCCCGUAGUCAUAACACUCUCUCUCCCCGUAGUCAUAUGACUCUCUCCAGUCCCUGUAGUCAUACCACUCUCUCUCCAGUCCGUGUAGUCACACCACUAUCUCUCUCCCUGUAGUCAUACAACUCUCUCUCCAGUCACUGUAGUCAUACCACUCUCUCUCCAGUCCCCGUAGUCAUACCACUCUCUCACUAGUCCCUGUAGUCAUACCACUCUCUCUCCAGUCCCUGUAGUCAUACCACUCUCUCUCCAGUCCCCGUAGUCAUAACACUCUCUCUCCCCGUAGUCAUAUGACUCUCUCCAGUCCCUGUAGUCAUACCACUCUCUCUCCAGUCCGUGUAGUCACACCACUAUCUCUCUCCCUGUAGUCAUACAACUCUCUCUCCAGUCCCUGUAGUCAUACCACUCUCUCUCCAGUCCCCGUAGUCAUACCACUCUCUCUCCCUGUAGUCAUAACACUCUCUCUCCCUGUAGUCAAACCACUCUCUCUCCAGUCCCUGUAGUCAUACCACUCUCUCCAGUCCCUGUAGUCAUACCAAUCUCUCUCCAGUCACUGUAGUCAUACCACUCUCUCUCCAGUCACUGUAGCCAUACCACUCUCUCUCCCCGUAGUCAUACAACUCUCUCUCCAGUCCCCAUGGUCAUACCACUCUCUCUCCAGUCCCUGUAGUCAUACCACUCUCUCUCCAGUCACUGUAGUCAUACCACUCUCUCUCCAGUCCCUGUAGUCAUACCACUCUCUCUCCAGUCCCUGUAGUCAUACCACUCUCUCUCCAGUCCCUGUAGUCAUACCACUCUCUCUCCAGUCCCCGUAGUCAUAACACUCUCUCUCCCCGUAGUCAUAUGACUCUCUCCAGUCCCUGUAGUCAUACCACUCUCUCUCCAGUCCGUGUAGUCACACCACUAUCUCUCUCCCUGUAGUCAUACAACUCUCUCUCCAGUCCCUGUAGUCAUACCACUCUCUCUCCAGUCCCCGUAGUCAUACCACUCUCUCACUAGUCCCUGUAGUCAUACCACUCUCUCUCCAGUCACUGUAGUCAUACCACUCUCUCUCCAGUCCCCGUAGUCAUACCACUCUCUCACUAGUCCCUGUAACAUAGCACUCUCUCUCCAGUCCCCGUAGUCAUACCACUCUCUCACUAGUCCCUGUAGUCACACCACUCUCUCUCCAGUCCCUGUAGUCAUACCACUAUCUCUCCCUGUAGUCAUAUGACUCUCUCUCCAGUCCCUGUAGUCAUACCACUCUCUCCCCGUAGUCAUACCACUCUCUCUCCAGUCCCUGUAGUCAUACCACUAUCUCUCCCUGUAGUCAUAUGACUCUCUUUCCCUGUAGUCAUACCACUCUUUCUCCAGUCCCCAUUGUCAUACCACUCUCUCACUAGUCACCGUAGUCAUACCACUCUCUCCAGUCCCCGUAGUUCUACCACUCUCUCUCCAGUCCCCGUAGUCAUACCACUCUCUCUCCAGUCCCCGUAGUCAUACCACUCUCUCUCCAGUCCCCGUAGUCAUACCACUCUCUCUCCAGUCCCCAUAGUCAUACCACUCUCUCUCCAGUCCCCGUAGUCAUACCACUCUCUCUCCAGUCCCCGUAGUCAUACCACUCUCUCUCCAGUCCCCAUAGUCAUACCACUCUCUCACUAGUCCCUGUAACAUAGCACUCUCUCUCCAGUCUCCGUAGUCAUACCACUCUCUCACUAGUCCCUGUAGUCACACCACUCUCUCUCCAGUCCCUGUAGUCAUACCACUAUCUCUCCCUGUAGUCAUACGACUAUCUCUCCCUGUAGUCAUAUGACUCUCUCUCCCUGUAGUCAUACCACUCUCUCACUAGUCCCUGUAGUCACACCACUCUCUCUCCAGUCCCUGUAGUCAUACCAAUCUCUCACUAGUCCCCAUAGUCAUAGCAUCAUUACCGCUCCUGCAGUCAUUUUAGCCGCAAUCAACAAUCCCUUUCAAAAUUGUGCACUUUGCAGCGCAUUGAUAAAAUGCUCAAUUAUCGCAAAUAAAAUGGAUUCAAGUACAGAAGUGCCAACAAAACAGACACGUACUGUUCAGCUUGCUAGAUGCCAUCUUGCCUAAUCUUAUCUUUCUCUGCUUUGAUGACAGACAUUUACAUUUACGUCAUUUUGCAGACGCUCUUAUCCAGAGCGACAUACAUUUUCCAUACUGGUCCCCCUUGGGAAUCGAACCCACAACCCUGGCUUUGUAAGAUCCAUGCUCUACCAACAAAGCUACAAGGGAGGAGCGGCAGGAGUUGCUUAGACCAGUGGUGGAAAAACUGCUGUCCUUCAGGGUCACAGUCAAGCUAUUUGUCGUCUCUUCCUGGUACUCUCCCUGAUAUUGAUCAUUUCUCAGUACUUAUUAACCAUUAUAAACUGGCCAUAUACCACACCUCCUCAGGCCUUAUUGCGUAAGUGUCCAACACACCUGGCUGCCCAGAUUAAGGGGCAAGAAUGAAAGUCAGUAGACACUGAGGCCUGAGGGGGUACACCCUUUGAGUCCUUAGCCCAGAAAAGCAUGUGCAUAUCAUCUAACAAAGUGGUCACUAACCUUUCCUAGGUCAAGAUCACUUCCUGAGUCAAAAUACAAGCCGAGAUGUACCGCUCAGAUUUGUUUUACAUGACUGAAAAAAACUUAAUCCUAUGCAACAUUAAGAUAUUGAAAACAGUACUGUAGCAAUGAGGUUUGUGCAGUAGGCUAUAGGUCCAAUACAUUAUCACUGCAUAUUGGCUUUACUUUAAUUGCCAUGCCAAUGCAUUUUUGUUUGGACCAUUAAAAUAUAUUUAUAUUUCAAAAUUUGAGGUAGGCUAUGUGAUCACACCGGUUAUAGAUCAAUUGUUGUAUUACUUGUGAGCAUACAUUUACAGCUGAGUGAGCAUACAUUUAAAUCAUUUUUAAUUUUAUUUAUUUUACUGGGCUGAUGGUGCCUGCAUCUGAUGGUCAGUCUUAGUGGAGGGAGAGAGCAGCAGACUGACGGUCUGCCUCUCAAAGUCACUCCGCUCUCCCUUUUCGUCUGUUGACACUGACCAAAAAGGGACACCGUCUUCCAGCUGAUGGCGAAACUUGAGUCGCACUGCAUUAUUUAAACAUAAAGAUAGCGCCGAAGAACAUGGCUGACGUUUUACAUUCUCCCAACCAAUUGUGCAAUUUUGUUAUUUUUUUUUGCGUAACUAAUUUUUUUACUUAUUGUGUACAUAAUGUUGCUGCUACCGUCUCUUAUGACUGAAAAUAACUUCUGGACAUCAGAAAAGCGAUAACUCACCACGGACUGGAAGAAACUUUUUCCUUUAACGAGUCCAAUGAGAAGGAUAUCCUGCUUUCACUGGAACAGGCCCAGAUCCACGCCUUUUACGUGAAGAAAAGACGCUGGAAAAGGGGAACCAGAUUGGGGAUCCUUCUGAGAAGCCAGAGGCGAACGAGUAAACUCCCAAUGCCUUCCAUUCUCCUUGCUAACGUGCAAUUGUUAGAAAAUAAAAUUGAUGACCUACUAUUAAGACUUUCCUACCAACGGGACAUUAAAAACUGUAACAUUUUAUGUUCCACCGAGACGUGGCUGAACAAAGAAACGGACAAUAUAGAGCUGGCAGGAUUUUCCCAUGCAGAACAGAGACGCUACCUCUGGUUAGAUGAGGGGUGGGUGUGUGUGUCUUUUUGUCAAUAACAGCUGCUGCGCGAUGCCUAAUAUUAAAGAAGUCUCAAGGUAUUGCUCGCCUGAGGUAGAGUACCUUAUGAUAAGCUGUAGACCACACUAUCUACCAAGAGAGUUCUCAUCUAUAUUAUUCGUAGCUGUCUAUUUACCGCCACAAAGUGAAGCUGCCACUAAGAAAGCUCUCAACAAACUCUAUAAGGCCAUAAGGAAAGAAGAAAAUGCUCACCCAGAAGCAGCGCUCCUAGUGGCCAGAGACUUUAAUGCAGGCAAAGUUAAAUCAGUUUUACAAAAAUUUUUACCAGCAUGUUACAUGUGCAACCAGGAAAAACAAAAUCCUAGACCACCUUUACUCCACACACAGAGAUGAAUACAAAGCUCUCCCCCGCCCUCCAUUUGGCGAAUCUGACGACAAUUCUAUCCUCCUGAUUCCCGCUUACAAGCAAAAACUAAAGCAGGAAGUACCAGUGACUCGCUCAAUACGGAGGUGGUCAGAUGAUGCAGAUGCUACACUACAGGACGGUUUUGCUAGCACAGACUGGAAUAUGUUCCGGGAUUCAUCCAAUGGCAUUGAGGAAUACACCACCUCAGUCACCGGCUUCAUCAAUAAGUGAAUCGAUGACGUCGUGCCCACAGCGACUGUACGUACAUAUCCCAACCAGAAGCCAUGGAUUACAGGCAACAUCCACAUCGAGCUAAAGGCUUGAGCUGUCGCUUUCAAGGAGCGGGAGACUAAUCCGGACGCUUAUAAGAAAUCCCGCUAUGCCCUCAGACAAACCAUCAAACAAGCAAAGCGUCAAUACAAUGUUAAAAAUUUAAUCACACUCGUCGGCUGUGGCAGGGCUUGAAAACUAUUACGGACUACAAAGGGAAACCCAGACGCGAACUGCCCAGUGACGCGAGCCUACCAGAUGAGCUAAAUGCCUUUUAUGCUCGCUUCGAGGCAAGCAACACUGAAGCAUGCACGAGAGCACCAGCUGUUCUGGACCACUGUGUGAUAACGCUCUCGGUAGCUGAUAUGAACAAAACCUUUAAACUGGCCAGACGGAUUACCAGGACGUGUACUUAAAGCAUGCGCGAACCAACUGUAAAGUGUCUUCACUGACAUUUCCAACCUCUCCUGACCGAGUCUGUAAUACCUACAUGUGUCAAGCAGACCACCAUAGUUAGUCUCUGUGCCAAAGGAAGCGAAGGUAACCUGCCUAAAUGAUUAUCGCCCCAUGGCACUCACUUCGGUAGCCAUGAAGUGCUUUGAAAGGCUGGUCACGGCUCACAUCAACAGCAUCCGGACACCCUAGACCCACUCCAAUUCGCAUACCGCCCCAACAGAUCCACAGAUGAUGCAAUCUCAAUCGCACUCCACACUGCCCUUCUCACCUGGACAAAAGGAACACCUAUGUGAGGAUGCUGUUCAUCGACUACAGCUCAGCAUUCAACACCAUAGUGCCCAUGAAGCUCAUCACUAAGCUAAGGACUCUGGGACUAACUGGAUCCUGGACUUCCUGACGGGCCACCCCAGGUGGUAAGAGUAGGCAACAACACGUCUGCCACACUCAUCCUUACCACUGGGGCCCCUCAGGGUGUGUACUUAGUCCCCUCCUGUAUUCCCUGUUCACCCACGACUGGGUGGCCAAACACGACUCCAUCACCAUCAUUAAGUUUGCUUAUGACACAACAGUGGUAGGCCUGAUCACCGACAACAAUGAGACGGCCUAUAGGGAGGAGGUCAGGGAACUGGUAGUGUGGUGCCAGAACAACAACCUCUCCCUCAAUGUGAGCAAGACCUGUAGCUGAUCGUGGACUACAGGAAAAGGCGGGCCGAACAGGCCCCCAUUAACAUCGAAGGGGCUGUAGUGGAGCGGGUCGAGAGUUUCAAGUUCCUUGGUGUCCACGUCACCAUCAAACUAUCAUGGUCCAAACAUAUCAAGACAGUCAUGAAGAGGGCAUGACAAAACCUUUUCCCCCUCAGGAGAAAAGAUUUGGCCUGGGCCCCCAGAUCCUCAAAAGGUUCUACAGCUGCACCAUUGAGAGCAUCCUGACCGGUAGCAUCACCGGCUGGUAUGGCAACUGCUCAGCAUCUGACCGUAAGGCGCUACAGAGUGUAGUGCAAACGGCCCAGUACAUCACUGGGUCCAAGCUUCCUGCCAUCCAGGACCUAUAUAAUAGGCGGUGUCAGAGGAAAGCCCAUAAAAUUGUCAGAGACUCCAGUCACCCAAGUUAUAGACUGUUUUCUCUGGUACCGCACGGCAAGCAGUACCGGAGCGCCAAGUCUAGGACCAAAAGGCUCAGCAACAACUUCUACCCCCAAGCCAUUAAACUGCUGAACAAUUCAUAAAAAUUGCCACCGGACAAUUUACAUUGACAACACCCCCACCCACCUCCCUUCCUCCUCUUGUACACUGCUUCUACUCGCUGUUUGUUUGUUACCUAUGCAUAGUCACUUCGCCCCCACCUACAUGUACAGAUUACCUCAACUAGCCUGUUCCCCUGCACACUGACUCGGUACCGGUGCCCCGUGUAUAUAACAGUCGUUAUUGUUAUUCUUUUUGUGUUACUUUUUGUUAUUACUUUUUAUUUUAGCCUACUUUGUAAAUAUUUUCUUCUUCUUGAACUGCACUGUUGGUUAAGGGCUUGUAAGUAAGCAUUUCACGGUAAAGUCUACACUUGUUGUAUUCGGCGCAUGUGGCAAAUAAAGUUUGAUUUGAUUAUUUCUGUCUCAUACAGAACUUCAUGUUGUUACUACUAUGACCAGAGAAAGUGAAACAUUCCUUGAUAUUGAAAAGACCCAAGCUGCUAAUAACAACAACACAAGCCUAUCGAUACACUUUCCUACUCAUUCAUUGCAGCUGCAGUGCUGGUUGUAGCACAAGUGCAAGUACGAUUUACAGUUUAAGUCAGAAGUGUACAUUCACCUUAGCCAAAUACAUUUCAACUCAGUUUUUCACAAUUCCUGACAUUUAAUCCUAGUAAAAAUCCUUUCCUUAGGUCAGUUAGGAUCACAACUUUAUUUUAAGAAUGUGAAAUGUCAGAAUAAUAGUAGAGAGAAUGAUUUAUUUCAGCUUUUAUUUCUUUCAUCACAUUCCCAGUGGGUCAGAAGUUUACACAGAAUAAGUAUUUGGUAGCAUUGCCUUUAAAUUGUUUAACUUGGGUCAAACCUUUCGGGUAGCCUUCCCACAAUAAGUUGGGUGAAUUUUGGCACAUUCCUCCUGACAGAGCUGCUGUAACUGAGUCAGGUUUGUAGGUCUCCUUGCUCACACACGAUUUUUUAGUUCUGCCCACAAAUUUUCGAUACGUUUGAGGUCAGGGCUUUCUGAUGCCCACUCCAAUACCUUGACUUUGUUGUCUUAAAUACAUUUUGCCACAACUUUGGAAGUAUGCUUGGAGUCAUUGUCCAUUUGGAAGACCCAUUUGCGACCAAGCUUUAACUUACUGAUGUCUUGAGAUGUUGCUUCAAUAUAUCUACAUCAUUUUCCUGCCUCAUGAUGCCAUCUAUGUCCUUCCCAUGAUGCCAUCUAUUUUGUGAAGUGCACCAGUCCUUCCUGCAGCAAAGCACCCCCACAACAUGAUGCUGCCAUCCCCGUGCAUCACGGUUGGGAAGGUGUUCUUCGGCUUGCAAGCAUCCCCCUUUUUCCUCCAAACAUAACGAUGGUCAUUAUGGCCAUACAGUUCUAUUUUUGUUUCAUCAGACCAGAGGACAUUUCUCCAAAAAGUACGAUCCCCAUGUGCAGUUGCAAACUGUAGUCGGCCUUUUUUUAUGCCGGUUUUGUAGCAGUGGCUUCUUCCUUGCUGAGCGGCCUUUCAGGUUAUGUCGAUAUAGGACUCAUUUUUACUGUGGAUAUAGAUACUUUUCUACCUGUUUCCUCCAGCAUCUUCACACGGUCCUUUGCUGUUGUUCUGGGAUUGAUUUGCACUUUUCACACCAAAGUACGUUCAUCUCUAGGAGACAGAACGCAUCUCCUUCCUGAGCGGUAUGACGGCUGAGUGGUCCCAUGGUGUUUAUACUUGCGUACUAUUGUUUGUACAGAUGAACGUGGUUCUUCAGGCGUUUGGAAAUUGCUCCCAAGGAUGAACCAGACUUGUGGAGGUCUACACUUGUUUUUCUGAGGUCUUGGCUGAUUUCUUUUGAUUUUCCCAUGAUGUCAAGCAAAGAUGCACCGAGUUUGAAGGUAGGCCUUGAAAUACAUCCACAGGUACACCUCCAAUUGACUCAAAUGAUGUCAAUUAGCCUAUCAGAAGCUUCUAAAGCCAUGACAUAAUUUUCUGGAAUUUUCCAAGCUGUUUAAAGUCACAGUCAGUUUAGUGUAUGUAAACUUCUGACCCACUGGAAUUGUGAUACAGUGAAUUAUAAGUGAAAUAAUCUGUCUGUAAACAAUUGUUGGAAAAAUUACUUGUGUCAUGCACAAAGUAGAUAUCCUAACCGACUUGCCAAAACUAUAGUUUGUUAACAAGACAUUUGUGGAGUGGUUGAAAAAUGAGUUUUAAUGACUCCAAACUAAGUGUAUGUAAACUUCCGACUUCAACUGUAUGUGCUGAGUAAGAACUUAAACAUAAACUCACUCAUAAAAACAGCAUCUCUUUGCUGUAUUCGUAAACAAUAUCUAUCUAUUCAUGGUUUUAAACAUUUUUACAUCCCACAACUUUGCUGUAGCUUCCUUUUGUUCCUGCUACGUUAGUGCAGACACGGCCAUCUGAGCCAUCCGAUUGGUCAGCGUUAGGCCUAUAGUGCACUUGAUUUGCUCUCCGGGCCCGUGGGGAAGGCAGAGUUUGUCCCUUCAGACACAUGAAACGGUUCAAAAUCUGAACACUUUGGCUACCUGGCACGCAGGGCAGCUGAAUCGGGUGCACCUACCGCCAACUGCACAAGAGGAAUAAAAAAAAUUAUAGGAACGCAAUGCUUUAGAGUUGGGUUUUUUACAGAAAUAUUUGGAGAUCGACUAGAGAUGCCUUGGAGAUCGAUCACGACUGACCGAUCACGAUUGACCGGUUGGUGACCACUGAUCUAACCCCUCUACUGACCCGAGAGAGAGAGAGAGAGAGAGAGAGAGAGAGAGAGAGAGAGAGAGAGAGAAAC